GAUGAACGCUGGCGGCGUGCCUAAUACAUGCAAGUCGAGCGAACAGACGAGGAGCUUGCUCCUCUGACGUUAGCGGCGGACGGGUGAGUAACACGUGGAUAACCUACCUAUAAGACUGGGAUAACUUCGGGAAACCGGAGCUAAUACCGGAUAAUAUAUUGAACCGCAUGGUUCAAUAGUGAAAGACGGUUUUGCUGUCACUUAUAGAUGGAUCCGCGCCGCAUUAGCUAGUUGUUAAGGUAACGGCUUACCAAGGCAACGAUGCGUAGCCGACCUGAGAGGGUGAUCGGCCACUGAGGAGCUGAGACACGGUCCAGGCUCCUACGGGAGGCAGCAGUAGGGAAUCUUCCGAAAUGGGCGAAAGCUUGACGGAGCAACGGCGCGUGAGUGAUGAAGGGCUUCGGAUCGGAAAACGCUGUUAUGAGGGAAGAACAAAUUUGUAAGUAACUAUGCACGUCUGGACGGUACCUAAUCAGAAAGCCACGGCUAACUACGU
rnacentral:rRNA from 1 species